rnacentral:rRNA from 1 species
UACGUAGGGUGCAAGCGUUUGUCCGGAAUUAUUGGGCGUAAAGAGCUCGUAGGCGGUCUGUCGCGUCGGCUGUGAAAACUCGGGGCUCAACCCCGAGCCUGCAGUCGAUACGGGCAGACUAGAGUGCUGUAGGGGAGACUGGAAUUCCUGGUGUAGCGGUGAAAUGCGCAGAUAUCAGGAGGAACACCGGUGGCGAAAGCGGCUCUCUGGAACGGUACUGACGCUGAGACGCGAAAGCGUGGGGGAGCGAACGGG